rnacentral:lncRNA from 1 species
AUUUAUUGAGCAAGAGGUACUCGAAAGGGGAGAGUCGUUGUUCACAUUGAAGUGUUGUCAGUGGAUUAAGUUUUCUUGACAUGCAUGACACACACAAGUUUGCAGGUUUCACUGCAAUGUCAAAGAUUCUGACAUUGGUAACUGGAAGCUCAUUCUCUGAUUCCCAGAAUCCUCGCUCUCCAUGAAUCACGACGCAAUGCAAGGAUCUCCAAAAAAAA